CUGUGGUGACUGAGAGGCGCGCUCCCGCUCUAAUAAUUACCUCAGAUAGGAGAGCGGGUUCCCGACAGUGCUGAGUCGCGGCCCCGCUCUAAUUAUUACCUCAGAUAAUACUGAAGUGUGCCCCCGCUCUUGAUGACCAAGGUCCCCAAUUCACAUGAUGUGUUGCUGACCACUGUCAGUAUAUGUCGGUAUGUCAUACACACUUACUAUACAUCAGCGUACCUGUGAUGUAGCCAUAGGCUUUGAGAAAAACACUAUGCUGCAUUAGAUGUUUGAAGUUCGGUGAACAACAACAACAACAUGUUGUGAGCGACGUCUGUGAGGACAGGAUGAAAGAUGGAGCCAACUACAAUACAGUCUCUUCAGAAUGUAGCGUUCUUCAUCCUUUGCUCUUGCACUUUUAUCCAUUCCAAUGUUUGAUUAAAAACAGGCGUUCAGCUGCGUCUUCACGGAGCAGGGUGGAUCGGCUCGGAUUGAGGGCCAUGCUUCUGCAUUGUGUGCCGUAACCUAGCAGUAGUUAAUAUCUGUCUUAGCAGAUGAAUGUCUUAUGGAGAUAACUGUGAAUUGGAGCGCCCUGCUACCUUACUCUACAUCUGACGAUGGUUAUUAAUAAGAUCUGCAUGCGCCAAUUAAAGAUGAACUUCUCUCUAA